rnacentral:rRNA from 1 species
AAACCUCCGCAAUGUGAGAAAUCGCGACGGGGGGACCCCAAGUGCCAUUCUUAACGGGAUGGCUUUUCUUGAGUGUAAAAAGCUCUUGGAAUAAGAGCUGGGCAAGACCGGUGCCAGCCGCCGCGGUAACACCGGCAGCUCUAGUGGUAGCCAUUUUUAUUGGGCCUAAAGCGUUCCUAGCCGGUUUAAUAAGUCUCG